GCGGGGUCUGCAACCAGGCUGCCUGCCAUAUGUUGUUUCUUGCAAUUAGCAGGUGCUUGGGGUGUGGGCUGGGCACCCAGAGGGCAAGGCGACUGCCUCUGCCAGGGAAACUCUCGUGAGCCAUACCAAGAGCUCAGGAAGAGAAACAAGGUGGCUGGGGGUUGAUGGGCAACCCCCAGGGCCAGUAAGAUGUGCUGGUCACGAAAGAAAUCUCUGUUUGCAGACAGUUUUAUUCCUGUACAGGUAUUUACAGCUUGCUACUGCAAAUUGAUGGAUCUUUAUUUCUGGAACUGUAGUCAUUCUUGCAGGUCCGUCGGUGCAGACAUUUUGGGAUAGUCCUUUGAUGUCUAUCAUCACACUAUGGAAGAGUGAGCAAAGCUUUCCCAGAAGUUCUGCAGCAGAAUUUCCAUCGUAUUUCAAUGACCAGAGCUGAGUCAUGUGCUUGUGCUUUGAAGAUUGCUUGACAAUGAGAAAAUCACUGUCUGCAGCAUGGAAAAAGAUCCUCACCAGAACCAGAUCAUGUUGGCACCCGAAUCUUGGACUUCCAGCUUCCAGAACUGAGUGCAAAGAUGAGAAGAGGCUGCCACUCAGCUGCGAUAUAUGAGGACUGACACUGUACCUUCUCUUAAUCUCCUACCUUCUCUCCUCACCCUACUUGCCACUUUUUAAAAUUUUGCUUUAAUGUGAUCAAUAUUAUAAAAUCCAAUAAAGAAAAAGAUUUAAAAAUAGG
rnacentral:lncRNA from 10 species